ACUGAGGCAACACCAUCGUGGGUUUGAGGUAGACUAAUCAACAACUUCUGAACGAUUCGUUGGUUACUCAAAUCAUCACCAUAACUUCUUCUUUGGUUAAUCAAAUUAAACUGUUUAGCCAAAUACACAAACAAUGAAUCAUCAUCAUUCAUCCUAGUAUAUUCAAAAUCUCGUCUAAGACCUUGAAGUUUUACGCAUCUUACUUGUUUAUCACCAAUAAAUUCUUGCUUGCUAAAUACCCCAAGCUGCCUUUGCAGUCUCCUGCGUAGCGAUUCUCAAGAAUAUUUGAUCUGAAACGGCACCUUGAAUGAUGCCAAGUGCUCUAGCAUCCUUCAUCAGAUUCUCUCGCAAGAGCUUAUUCUUAGCUUAUGUGACCUCUUCCUCCUUCGCUGGAGUAGCAAAGCUCUUCUCAACCAGAUUCCACAGCUCAUGGGAUCGGAAAAUGGUCUUCAUUCUGAUUUGCCAGAAGUUGAAGUUGUUGCCAUUGAAAAUCGGAGCUCGUUGCUCUCUACCACCAGACCAGCCAUGUUAGACUUGAAUCUCGAGAGGUCGGGGCUCGUCGGAUUUCACAGAUUCUGACGCCCAGAAAUGCAACCUAGCUCUGAGGCCAUGUUAGUGUAUUUGAACUUGUGAGUGAAGUUUUACGGAGAGUUAGACACACAGAAUGAUUAAAAAUGAUGAAUGCAAUGAAGAAGAAAGAAGCUGGAAAUGGAAGAGAAUUGCAGAGAGAAUUACAGAAGCCAUGACCUCAUUCACACAUUCAUUCAUUCAUACACAUAUUACGUGAAGAGAGCCAGCCGGUAGGGAUCUGAUCUCACUAUCGGUUACACGAGGAGAGAGAGUCGCACACUAACAACUUAUAAUCCUUGCCAUCCAUCUAAUCUAGCCUAUGACUUUAGACGAGUGGCAAUUCCUUUUAACAAACUGAAAUGUAACAAAUUUUGUUACUACCUUGAAUAUGAGCUGAUGCAGUUGAUAAGAAAUUUUGAUUGCAUUGGUUUUUUGUCAUGGAUGCUCUCUCGUUGCUUUUAACUUAUCUGAAAUUUUGAUACCUAUUUCUAUGCCAAAUUUUGCAGGUCGAAAUUCAGCCAUAUAUACUUGUAUUGCAAUCCGGGAUGUGUCUAAGCUGGAAGUAACCCAAGUGCCUAAGUAGGAUUAGGCUGGUCUCACGAGCUGAAUCAUAACUUUUUCUUGCUCCGAGGAGCCCCGACCUCUCGAGUUUCAAGUCUAACAUGGAUAGUCUGGUGAAAUCCGACGAGCGGAAUCAGAGCUUUUUCUUGCUCCGACGAGCCCCGACCUCUUGUGAUAACCCAAGUGCCUAAGCGAGGAUUGGAGAAAUUCAAUUUAUAAGAAGAGAAAUGAGGGCAUAUGAAGUUUGGAAGUAAAUUUUCAACCCUAAGGCCAUUUCCAAAUGAGGGCUGGUCAGAGGGCUCGUUUUAGCUAUCUGGCUCUCCAAGAUCUUCCAAGAUAUUAAUAUU
rnacentral:lncRNA from 1 species